rfam:Tenacibaculum dicentrarchi strain AY7486TD, complete genome.
AUUAAUACUAAAGGUCGAGAACCUUAAAAAUUAAA